AAAUUGAAGAGUUUGAUCAUGGCUCAGAUUGAACGCUGGCGGCAGGCCUAACACAUGCAAGUCGAACGGUAACAGGAAGCAGCUUGCUGCUUUGCUGACGAGUGGCGGACGGGUGAGUAAUGUCUGGGAAACUGCCUGAUGGAGGGGGAUAACUACUGGAAACGGUAGCUAAUACCGCAUAAUGUCGCAAGACCAAAGAGGGGGACCUUCGGGCCUCUUGCCAUCGGAUGUGCCCAGAUGGGAUUAGCUAGUAGGUGGGGUAAAGGCUCACCUAGGCGACGAUCCCUAGCUGGUCUGAGAGGAUGACCAGCCACACUGGAACUGAGACACGGUCCAGACUCCUACGGGAGGCAGCAGUGGGGAAUAUUGCACAAUGGGCGCAAGCCUGAUGCAGCCAUGCCGCGUGUAUGAAGAAGGCCUUCGGGUUGUAAAGUACUUUCAGCGGGGAGGAAGGGAGUAAAGUUAAUACCUUUGCUCAUUGACGUUACCCGCAGAAGAAGCACCGGCUAACUCCGUGCCAGCAGCCGCGGUAAUACGGAGGGUGCAAGCGUUAAUCGGAAUUACUGGGCGUAAAGCGCACG
rnacentral:rRNA from 1 species